UUUUCAAAAAUAAGUUGGGCGGCAAUUGGAGGUGAAGGUGAGUGAGAGUGUGAAGAGAAAGGAAAACAGAUAAAAGGGGAGAGAAUGAGAGGGAAGAUUCGAGAAGAUGAAAAACGGUCUCGAUCUCGAAAUCGGAUUUCAGAUUCAAGAAGAGAGAGAGAGAGAGCGAUAUGGGAGGGGAGAAGAUGUGAGAUAGAGAGAUCGGAAGAGAGAGAAUGAAAAUCAAGAAGACGAUGACGAACGAACUCCAUCUCCAAAUCGGCUCUUCAGAUUCAAGAAUAAUAUUUAAGGCAUUUUUAUCUUAUUCUGUGGCAGAUUUUGAGGAAAAUUCUAUUUGGAGAAGGAAAAGUGGUCAGAGAUCUAUAAUCUUUGGUUUUGAGGGGCAAUGAUGACGGUGGAAGUUAUUCCGGUACAGACGAUCGCUCAUAUUAAAGGUGAUCGUGGAAUUUUUUAUGAAUGAGGGGAUUGGGAUCCUGCGAUGGCCAGAUUUGAUGAAGGUGAAACAAUUAUGAUUCUGGUAAUUUGAUGGCUGUUGUGCUAGUGGAAUUGGUUUUGAUUCAGGGGAAUCGAUUUGAUGCAAUUAUCAAAUUUGAUAAUUGGGAAUUGAUUGCGAUUGAGUCAAUUGGGAUUUGCUGCAAUGAUCAGACUGGAUGAGGUGAAUUCAUUCCUAUCCCAUGGCCCUGUGAUGUGAUUUGGUGCCAAGAAAGAUAUUGGAAAGUAUUAAAGUUAUUUGGAUUAAUUUCUGGAUGUUUCCCUUCAUUUUUAAAAUUUUUUUUUUAUAAAAUUUAAACUGCAUUAAACUUGGCAUUUAAAUUCGUUUUAGUUAAUGGAUUAUGGAAUCUUAGCCGGGUUGGGAGAAUUUUCUCCCUUUCUUUUUUGGGAAAUCUCGACAGACGAACGGUUGCUUUCAAAAUUUUAUGUUCUUCAUUUAUUUUUUCUUUUUUCUUUGAAUUCUGAACAAUCAAAGGGUUGAUGGAUCAUUGAAAUUGAGCCAGAUUGAGAUUCAAAAUUUUAUGUUCUUUAUUUUCUUUUUUUGGUUUCUUUGAUUUCUGAGCAAUCAAAGGGUUAAUGCAAUGAUGGAUCUGAGCCAGAUUGAGAUUCAAAAUUCUCUUCUUCUUUUCGAAGGGAUUGGAAAGUAUUAAAAUUAUUUGGAUUAAUUUCUAGAUGUUUCCCUUCAAUUUUUUAUUUUAUUUUAUUUUAUUUCUAUAUUUAUUUUUAUUUUUAAUUUUUUUUUAAAUUUAAACUGCAUUAAACUAGGCAUUUAACACCUUUUGUUCGUUUUGGUUAAUGGAUUAUGGAAUCUUUGCGAGAUUGGGAGAAUUUUCUCCCCUUCUUUUUUGGGAAAUCUCGACAGACGAACGGUUGCUUUCAAAAUUUUAUGUUCUUCAUUUCUUUUUUCUUUUUUCUUUGAAUUCUGAACAAUCAAAGGGUUGAUGGAUCAUUGGAAUUGAGCCAGAUUGAGAUUCAAAAUUUUAUGUUCUUUAUUUUCAUUUUUCGUUUUUUUGAUUUCUGAGCAAUCAAAGGGUUAAUGCAAUGUUGGAUCUGAGCCUGAUUGAGCCAGAUUGAGAUUCAAAAUUCUCUUCUUCUUUUCCUUGAUUUAUCAGCAAUCAAACGAAGGGUUAUCAGAUCAUUUAAUCUCAGCCUGGUUAAGAUUAUUCCAGAAUAGUCUUGCAUAUCAGAGGCUAGAUGCGGGUAUACUUGGGAUCACCUGGGACGAAUAUUAAUAAUUUUAGCAGUAAGCAUGUGAAGCAACAGUUUGUGAUAUCAGUUAAGAUAUCAGAUGGUUCAAAUAAUGAAAUUUAUCAAGGAUGUUUAGUUGCCUAUGAUAUCAUCAAAGGUUAGGUUAUAUGAUUUGUAGUUUAUUGAAAUCAUGAACAUUAGACAUAUGGAUAUUUUAGUUGAAUUAACAAUCAUGUAUUUAUUAUUCCCAUUUGGGUAUAGGAAGGUUUCAUGAGAUGAUUAACAGGAUCUUCAAAAUAGACUAGUUGAAUUAACAAGGAUUUAGAGUGCCUUUGAGAAUGAUUCUAGAAAGCGUUUCUAGUAUUUUUAACACUUGAGUGAUAAAAAUUUAAAGUAGUAAAAUAUUAAAAACACUUUUUAGAAUCACUAUCAAACGGACUCUUAUUAGUCAUGUAAAAGGGAUUAUUAUGAUUAGAUUUUUUGUUGUCAUUAUAUAUUGAGAUGGUGGUUGAAUUGAUGAUAAUAUAGAGUAGUUAGUUGAUAAGGAUUGAAUUAUUCCUUCAUUAUCACUAAGUUUCUAUAGAUAUUGCAUGUUUGUUGAACAGGUAGGGAUUGAGACAUUUCCUUAUUAUUUUCAUCCGAUAUAUGACAUUUCACAAGUUGAAAUGCAUUAAUUUGGUUACAUUUUCUGUUUCAGUGGUAUACUGAUACGUUUAUUGGAUUGAUGAGGAUUGAAACAUUUGCUUGUUAUUCUCAUUUGAUAUAUAAGACACUCACAGAGAUGACUUAUUUUGGUUGGAGUUCCGUUUGGCUGGAUAAGUAAAAACUUUCGUAAAGCUUUCUCCGAGCAGGAAAGCCAAAACUCCUAUAGGACUUGAUGAGAUUUAUAUCUUCUUUCUGAACCUGUAACAUUUUUUGGUAUUUAUUUUCAAUAUAACAAAUUUGAAAAGCUUGAAGAUGACCAUCAAUUAAUUUCCAAGCUGAAACAUCCAUCUAGUUGUGCAUUAAGUUGCUGCAAAGACUUUUUUUUUUUUUUUUUCUGUAACUGAAACAUCCACUUAUACUCUGCUUUUCAUUAUGGCUGACUUGCUGUAACUGAACCAUCUGGUUGUUUCACAUUGAAAGGAAAAGGCAUCAACUCUUCUGAGACUUUCCUCUUAAUAAUCACUUGUUUGGCGCUGUCUUUUUUCCAUCAUCACUCCUUUGUAUUGAAGCAACUUUACUGUGCAGUUUUUGUAUUUGGUGGCCUGGAUAUAUCAUUCAAAAGUUUUCACUAUAAUGAGCUUUCGAAGCAAGAAAAGAACAGAUUGUCGAAACUGGAUAUUGAAAUUAAGAUGGUGUGUAGCAUAGAAGAAAACAAGUAAAAAUAUGGCAGGCGAAGAA